AGCCACUGUAGCAAAUAACAGAACCCAAAGAGGGAGUCAUGGGAAUCUCAACUUGAAGCCAGUCGAUCAGAACUUCCGGAAGCCCAGACUUGAGACCGGGCUUAAUAUACACAAGGCCAUAGAGCUAGACCCAGGCCAUGGAGGAGCAUGGAGGACCGCAAUUCUAAAAGCUUUGCCAGCUUAAAAGUAAGUGCAUCCAGGAAGCAGCUGAAACUUCACGCAGAUUUGUGGAUAUAGACAUGAAGGGAAUAUGGCUUCCUUUGUAGUGAGUUCUGUCUGCAGAUGGACACUCAAACCAUGAAAAGCUCAGCCUACGCCGGGCAGUCGACAUCGUGGCUCCGGCCAGCAAUUCUUCCACUAGAUUUAAUGAGAGCGUGGAAGUCCCUGAACAACCUGAAGGCACAUUUGAGGAGAAGCACACACUCAGUCAGGGAAUGGAGCCAGAAUUUCAUCUGCUUGAGAUGGAAGUGAAGAAAUUUCUGGAGACUGGAGUGGAUUAUAGGAGAAAGUACCAGGGUUUAGCCUGUGCUUAAAAUGGAAAUUCCUCGCAUUCUCAUUUCAGCUUCUCUGAGGGAGGAAGGGCAUUCCUGAAACACAGCUGAGUAUGUAACAGGCCACGAACCUUGGUGACAACCAGGUAACAUCCUUGGUCAUAGAGGCUAUGUCGGUUUCGGUUACAGUGAUGCACUUUUAAACAGUUUAGGCCAUCGCUAAUAAGCUUCAAGUCUCAGCUUUUCUGUUUGUAAGUUAAAAAUUUGGAGGUAAAAAAUUAGUGCUUUCAUUUAUAGUACAUCACAAUAUUUCCAAGAAAUAGCCCGACAGGGAGAAACUUUCCUACAGUCACGAACCAUUUGACUCCUACAACUCCAUCUUUGGAGGCUGCCAGCAUGUUCUGAGUCCAGGGCAGAUCCGAUGAAUAAUUUUCCUGCUUCUCAUCCUAGAAUAUCUGCCUGCCUCACAGGAUCAAGUCCAAGCCCCAAACCUGCCAUUCAGGGACCUCAAUUCUGCAUCCUACCUACUGCUUCAGCUGAGGCUCCUGCGUGCGGUGCCUGGAACACGAGCAGCAGGGGCUGCCUCCGCACACCGGCGCGCGCACACCCGGUGUCUUUGCUCAUGCAGUCCUGGGGCCUAGGACGCCUCCUCCUGCUCUUCCUUGCCUUGCUCAUAUCUGCUCAUUCUUCAAUUCUUGGCUGGUAUCAUCUCUUCCAGGAAGCCUCCUCCUCCGGGUCUGUGUGCCCUGAUAGCUUGCUUCCUCUAUGUUAUUUUAUUAAAAAGAUCGGUUUAUGUGUA